AUUGAACGCUGGCGGCAGGCCUAACACAUGCAAGUCGAAUGGUAACAGGAAACAGCUUGCUGUUUCGCUGACGAGUGGCGGACGGGUGAGUAAUGUCUGGGAAACUGCCUGAUGGAGGGGGAUAACUACUGGAAACGGUAGCUAAUACCGCAUAACGUCGCAAGACCAAAGAGGGGGACCUUCGGGCCUCUUGCCAUCAGAUGUGCCCAGAUGGGAAUAGCUAGUAGGUGGGGUAACGGCUCACCUAGGCGACGAUCCCUAGCUGGUCUGAGAGGAUGACCAGCCACACUGGAACUGAGACACGGUCCAGACUCCUACGGGAGGCAGCAGUGGGGAAUAUUGCACAAUGGGCGCAAGCCUGAUGCAGCCAUGCCGCGUGUAUGAAGAAGGCCUUCGGGUUGUAAAGUACUUUCAGCGGGGAGGAAGGGAGUAAAGUUAAUACCUUUGCUCAUUGACGUUACCCGCAGAAGAAGCACCGGCUAACUCCGUG
rnacentral:rRNA from 1 species